CGGGACACGUGGUAUCCUGUCUGAAUAUGGGGGGACCAUCCUCCAAGGCUAAAUACUCCUGACUGACCGAUAGUGAACCAGUACCGUGAGGGAAAGGCGAAAAGAACCCCGGCGAGGGGAGUGAAAAAGAACCUGAAACCGUGUACGUACAAGCAGUGGGAGCACGCUUAGGCGUGUGACUGCGUACCUUUUGUAUAAUGGGUCAGCGACUUAUAUUCUGUAGCAAGGUUAACCGAAUAGGGGAGCCGAAGGGAAACCGAGUCUUAACUGGGCGUUAAGUUGCAGGGUAUAGACCCGAAACCCGGUGAUCUAGCCAUGGGCAGGUUGAAGGUUGGGUAACACUAACUGGAGGACCGAACCGACUAAUGUUGAAAAAUUAGCGGAUGACUUGUGGCUGGGGGUGAAAGGCCAAUCAAACCGGGAGAUAGCUGGUUCUCCCCGAAAGCUAUUUAGGUAGCGCCUCGUGAAUUCAUCUCCGGGGGUAGAGCACUGUUUCGGCAAGGGGGUCAUCCCGACUUACCAACCCGAUGCAAACUGCGAAUACCGGAGAAUGUUAUCACGGGAGACACACGGCGGGUGCUAACGUCCGUCGUGAAGAGGGAAACAACCCAGACCGCCAGCUAAGGUCCCAAAGUCAUGGUUAAGUGGGAAACGAUGUGGGAAGGCCCAGACAGCCAGGAUGUUGGCUUAGAAGCAGCCAUCAUUUAAAGAAAGCGUAAUAGCUCACUGGUCGAGUCGGCCUGCGCGGAAGAUGUAACGGGGCUAAACCAUGCACCGAAGCUGCGGCAGCGACGCUGAUGCGUUGUUGGGUAGGGGAGCGUUCUGUAAGCCUGUGAAGGUGUGCUGUGAGGCAUGCUGGAGGUAUCAGAAGUGCGAAUGCUGACAUAAGUAACGAUAAAGCGGGUGAAAAGCCCGCUCGCCGGAAGACCAAGGGUUCCUGUCCAACGUUAAUCGGGGCAGGGUGAGUCGACCCCUAAGGCGAGGCCGAAAGGCGUAGUCGAUGGGAAACAGGUUAAUAUUCCUGUACUUGGUGUUACUGCGAAGGGGGGACGGAGAAGGCUAUGUUGGCCGGGCGACGGUUGUCCCGGUUUAAGCGUGUAGGCUGGUUUUCCAGGCAAAUCCGGAAAAUCAAGGCUGAGGCGUGAUGACGAGGCACUACGGUGCUGAAGCAACAAAUGCCCUGCUUCCAGGAAAAGCCUCUAAGCAUCAGGUAACAUCAAAUCGUACCCCAAACCGACACAGGUGGUCAGGUAGAGAAUACCAAGGCGCUUGAGAGAACUCGGGUGAAGGAACUAGGCAAAAUGGUGCCGUAACUUCGGGAGAAGGCACGCUGAUAUGUAGGUGAAGCGACUUGCUCGUGGAGCUGAAAUCAGUCGAAGAUACCAGCUGGCUGCAACUGUUUAUUAAAAACACAGCACUGUGCAAACACGAAAGUGGACGUAUACGGUGUGACGCCUGCCCGGUGCCGGAAGGUUAAUUGAUGGGGUCAGCGCAAGCGAAGCUCUUGAUCGAAGCCCCGGUAAACGGCGGCCGUAACUAUAACGGUCCUAAGGUAGCGAAAUUCCUUGUCGGGUAAGUUCCGACCUGCACGAAUGGCGUAAUGAUGGCCAGGCUGUCUCCACCCGAGACUCAGUGAAAUUGAACUCGCUGUGAAGAUGCAGUGUACCCGCGGCAAGACGGAAAGACCCCGUGAACCUUUACUAUAGCUUGACACUGAACAUUGAGCCUUGAUGUGUAGGAUAGGUGGGAGGCUUUGAAGUGUGGACGCCAGUCUGCAUGGAGCCGGCCUUGAAAUACCACCCUUUAAUGUUUGAUGUUCUAACGUUGACCCGUGAUCCGGGUUGCGGACAGUGUCUGGUGGGUAGUU
rnacentral:rRNA from 1 species